UAGGGAAUCUUCGGCAAUGGACGAAAGUCUGACCGAGCAACGCCGCGUGAGUGAAGAAGGUUUUCGGAUCGUAAAACUCUGUUGUUAGAGAAGAACAAGGACGUUAGUAACUGAACGUCCCCUGACGGUAUCUAACCAGAAAGCGACGGCUAACUACGUGCCAGCAGCCGCGGUAAUACGUAGGUGGCAAGCGUUGUCCGGAUUUAUUGGGCGUAAAGCGAGCGAAGGCGGUUUCUUAAGUCUGAUGUGAAAGCCCCCGGCUCAACCGGGGAGGGUCAUUGGAAACUGGGAGUCUUGAGUGCAGAAGAGGAGAGUGGAAUUCCAUGUGUAGCGGUGAAAUGCGUAGAUAUAUGGAGGAACACCAGUGGCGAAGGCGGCUCUCUGGUCUGUUACUGACGCUGAGGCUCGAAAGCGUGGGGAGCAAACAGG
rnacentral:rRNA from 1 species